rnacentral:rRNA from 1 species
AUUGAACGCUGGCGGCAUGCUUUACACAUGCAAGUCGAACGGCAGCGCGGGCUUCGGCCUGGCGGCGAGUGGCGAACGGGUGAGUAAUACAUCGGAACGUGCCCAGUAGUGGGGGAUAGCUCGGCGAAAGCCGGAUUAAUACCGCAUACGACCUGAGGGUGAAAGGGGGGGAUCUUCGGACCUCGCGCUAUUGGAGCGGCCGAUGGCCGAUUAGCUAGUUGGUGGGGUAAAGGCCUACCAAGGCGACGAUCUGUAGCUGGUCUGAGAGGACGACCAGCCACACUGGAACUGAGACACGGCCCAGACUCCUACGGGAGGCAGCAGUGGGGAAUUUUGGACAAUGGGCGAAAGCCCGAUCCAGCAAUGCCGCGUGUGUGAUGAAGGCCUUCGGGUUGUAAAGCACUUUUGGCGGGAACGAAAAGGACUGUGCCAAUACCACGGUUCGAUGACGGUACCCGCAGAAUAAGCACCGGCUAACUACGUG